UACGAAGGGGGCUAGCGUUGUUCGGAAUUACUGGGCGUAAAGGGCGCGUAGGCGGCACUGUUAGUCAGGCGUGAAAUUCCUGGGCUCAACCUGGGGACUGCGCUUGAUACGGCAGAGCUUGAGGAUGGAAGAGGGUCGCGGAAUUCCCAGUGUAGAGGUGAAAUUCGUAGAUAUUGGGAAGAACACCGGUGGCGAAGGCGGCGACCUGGUCCAUUACUGACGCUGAGCGCGACAGCGUGGGAGCAA
rnacentral:rRNA from 1 species